rnacentral:rRNA from 1 species
CUCCUACGGGAGGCAGCAGUGGGGAAUAUUGGACAAUGGGGGAAACCCUGAUCCAGCGAUGCCGCGUGAGUGAAGAAGGCCUUCGGGUCGUAAAGCACUGUGGGGAGAGACGAAACUACGCAGGAGGAAAUGCCUGCGUACUGACGGUACCUCCUUAGCAAGCACCGGCUAACUCUGUGCCAGCAGCCGCGGUAAUACAGAGGGUGCAAACGUUGCUCGGAUUUACUGGGCGUAAAGCGCGUGUAGGCGGACUCGCAAGUCGGUUGUGAAAUCCCUGGGCUCAACCUAGGAACUGCAUCCGAAACUGCUUGUCUUGAGUAAUGGAGAGGGUGGCGGAAUUCCCGGUGUAGAGGUGAAAUUCGUAGAUAUCGGGAGGAACAUCAGUGGCGAAGGCGGCCACCUGGACAUUUACUGACGCUGAGACGCGAAAGCGUGGGGAGCAAACAGGAUUAGAUACCCUGGUAGUCCACGCCGUAAACGAUGAGCAUUAGGUGCAGCGGAUAUUGACCUCUGCUGUGCCGUAGCUAACGCGUUAAAUGCUCCGCCUGGGGAGUACGGCCGCAAGGCUAAAACUCAAAGGAAUUGACGG